UACGUAGGGUGCGAGCGUUAAUCGGAAUUACUGGGCGUAAAGGGCAGGCAGGCGGAUCCAUAAGUUUAUCGUUUAAGGCGUCGGCUUAACCGGCGUAGGGCGGUAGAUACUGUGGAUCUGGAAUGCGGUUGGGGAAGACAGAAUUCCUGGUGUAGCGGUGGAAUGCGCAGAGAUCAGGAGGAAUACCGAAGGCGAAGGCAGUCUUCCAAGCCGUUAUUGACGCUCAACUGCGAAGGUGUGGGUAUCAAACAGGAUUAGAUACCCGUGUAGUCCCU
rnacentral:rRNA from 1 species